rnacentral:rRNA from 1 species
AUUGAACGCUGGCGGCAGGCCUAACACAUGCAAGUCGAACGAGCGGCGGACGGGUGAGUAAUGUCUGGGAAUCUGCCUGAUAGAGGGGGAUAACUACUGGAAACGGUAGCUAAUACCGCAUACUAUCGGAUGAACCCAUAUGGGAUUAGCUAGUAGGUGGGGUAAAGGCUCACCUAGGCGACGAUCCCUAGCUGGUCUGAGAGGAGGAACAGCCACACUGGGACUGAGACACGGACCAGACUCCGACGAGAGGCAGCAGUGGGGAAUAUUGCACAAUGGGCGCAAGCCUGAGGCAGCAAUGCCGCGUGUAUGAAGAAGGCCUUAGGGUUGUAAAGUACUUUCAGCGGGGAGGCGUUACCCGCAGAAGAAGCACCGGCUAACUCCGUGCCAGCAGCCGCGGUAAUAC